rnacentral:rRNA from 1 species
GACGAACGCNGGCGGCGUGCUUAACACAUGCAAGUCGAACGUGAUUUUUGUGGAAAUUCUUUCGGGAAUGGAAAUGAAAUGAAAGUGGCGAACGGGUGAGUAACACGUGAGCAACCUACCUUACACAGGGGGAUAGCCGUUGGAAACGACGAUUAAUACCGCAUGAGACCACAGAAUCGCAUGAUAUAGGGGUCAAAGAUUUAUCGGUGUAAGAAGGGCUCGCGUCUGAUUAGCUAGUUGGAAGGGUAAAGGCCUACCAAGGCGACGAUCAGUAGCCGGUCUGAGAGGAUGAACGGCCACAUUGGAACUGAGACACGGUCCAAACUCCUACGGGAGGCAGCAGUGGGGAAUAUUGCACAAUGGGGGGAACCCUGAUGCAGCGACGCCGCGUGAGCGAAGAAGGUUUUCGAAUCGUAAAGCUCUGUCCUAUGAGAAGAUAANGACGGUNUCA